CUUCCCUCCACUCCAUCUUAGCCCCCAGGGAUGGACAUCCAGGGGAAGCAGCCCCACUUCCUGUGUCUACUCCUCAUGGACAUUGUGGGAGCUCCAUUUUCUUCAACAGAAGAUAUGAAUCAAGCAAUCUGAGGGCCUAGAUGGGGAGAAAAGGGCCCUGAAACAGGGAGAGAUGAAUGUAGCCACCAGCUCUCUGUUUUUUUCUUUAGAGGGGCAGGGAGUCAUUCAACCUAAGAAUUUUUCCUUGCUGUCUUGCAUAUCCCAACAGGCCUCCCUUCAUUCUUACAGUGUGACUGACCUAAAUUGAAAAUAUGAAGAGGACCCAUGGGCUAAAAGGAAGAAGAUUAUGGGCAAGUACUGCAAGAACUGGCAACAGUCUCAUAUUAUGUGGACAACUCUACAAUGCAUGUUUGUUUGGGCUCUCCCUUUUCGCUGCUCCAAACUCCCUGUCCCUGACUUUUGCUUACUGGGUCCAGUCCCCAGUAGAGUAGCUGCUCUUAGGCUUUUGUCUUAGGAGAACUCAGGGGAACACGUGGCCUAUGCUCUGGCAAUAAAAUCUUCUUGCAUUGUCAGAAGUCACCUCACUAUUUGAUGUCUCCGUAUACUCCCUCUGCUUUAAUCUCACUUACUUCCCCCAAACCUCAAUCUGGCCCCUGUUUAAAUGUCACCUGUUCAUGAAGCUUUCCUUCAUCUCCACAACAAAGCUGGUUUCUCCCUUCUCUGUGGCUGCUGUACCUUGUUUAUUCCUCCAUGGGCGCACUGAGGGCUCU
rnacentral:lncRNA from 10 species